rnacentral:rRNA from 1 species
UACGUAGGGUGCGAGCGUUGUCCGGAAUUACUGGGCGUAAAGCGUGCGCAGGCGGUGAUGUAAGACAGGUGUGAAAUCCCCGGGCUUAACCUGGGAACUGCAUUUGUGACUGCAUCGCUGGAGUGCGGCAGAGGGGGAUGGAAUUCCGCGUGUAGCAGUGAAAUGCGUAGAUAUGCGGAGGAACACCGAUGGCGAAGGCAAUCCCCUGGGCCUGCACUGACGCUCAUGCACGAAAGCGUGGGGAGUAAACAGG